rnacentral:lncRNA from 1 species
GUCUCCCUUUUGGCCUUGUAUAAUCCCAUUUCACGUUCUUAAUUAGGGCUUGAUUUGCUCAGGGGUGAUGGCGUUUCGAUCCGUCAGGUAUUCUGAAAAAACUAGAUCUACAUCGAUCCGAGUCAAAACUCGAACUGAAAACUGUUUGCUGAAUUUGAUUAGUUUUACCAUUAUACAUCUAUCGAAUUAGACAUUGAUGUUACGUUAGAACUCGAUUUCAUGGUUUAUAUCCUUCUUCCUUGAAACCCUAACACACUUUCGUAUUUUGUGUUAUACAGAAUUACUUAUUCUGAUUUUCAGCUUAAAGAUUUGAACUUUCAACAUCAAUCAUUAUGCAUAUACAAUGGGAAAUAGAACACCACUUAUUCCUAUAGAAUCAUUAGAUCCGUUUGUGUGCUUUCUCUAAUUUACAAUCCCUACAGAGAUCAAUGGAAUCUAAGCAAAAAUCUCCUUAAAUCCAACUAAUUUCCAGCAGCAUACGCAUCAUCUGAGGUUUGAUUUCUUACUUCUCCUUUAAACAUUCAAAGACGUGAAGCAAUUAUGUCAGUUUUUGAUCAAAAUCACCAUCAACGACCUCAAAGAACUCAUCUAAGCAUUAUCUCUGUUAAUUGAUGUCAUAAAAUGCUUUCAUCUGGAAACACUGCACCUCGCACAACAACAAUUAUGCCUGAUGUAAUGAUGUAUCCAUCAGUUUCAUUGUUCCCUUCUAACACAUUAUCCCUGUUUAUGAUCUACAUAACAACAAAUCAUCCAUUAUAAUGUUUCAAAAACAGAGUAUUCGUAUCUAUCAUACCUUUAGCUAACAAUACCUUAACGUUUUUCCCAAUCUUUGCGUUCUUAUCUAUUAUAGCUCUCUUUAUGAAAGAUCCUUCCCCAACACCAAUUGGAAUACUCGCAUGCUUUCCAUCUCCUCCACCAUUUCUCUGUUCAGGUAUGCUCUGUUCACAUCAGAAAGAAAAAACUAAUCGAUAACAUAAAAUGUUAUUUAAUUGAUAAAAGAAACUCAAUCAUAUGUUCAUAAUUACCUGAUAGAUAUCAGAUCCCAUGAUUACUGAAUCUUCUAUUACAGCUCCAUCUCCAACUCUUGUUCUUGGACCAAUCACUGUAUUUCUGAUGCUGCAUCUCUACUUUUUUAAAGACAAAUCGCAUAAAUAAUAAGAAAAUUUGUACACACACACAAAAACACACACAAAAUUGGGUGAAAGUUUCAUACAUUGAGAAUGCAACCAUCGCCAAUGACACUAUCUGUAAUGGCAGCAUUGGUUACUAGAGAUGGAGGCAGAUGACGUGGCAGAGUGUACACUGGAAAAUCUCUAUCAUAGAAGCUGCUACCAACAUGUGAAUUAUGUAAUUAGUUUUUGUUUUUUUUUUUUUUUUUUGUACAUUUUUUUUUCGUAUUUCAGAGGUAUGUUACUAUAUACUACGCACUUAU